rnacentral:rRNA from 1 species
AUUGAACGCUGGCGGCAGGCCUAACACAUGCAAGUCGAACGGUAACAGGAAGAAGCUUGCUUCUUUGCUGACGAGUGGCGGACGGGUGAGUAAUGUCUGGGAAACUGCCUGAUGGAGGGGGAUAACUACUGGAAACGGUAGCUAAUACCGCAUAACGUCGCAAGACCAAAGAGGGGGACCUUCGGGCCUCUUGCCAUCGGAUGUGCCCAGAUGGGAUUAGCUAGUAGGUGGGGUAACGGCUCACCUAGGCGACGAUCCCUAGCUGGUCUGAGAGGAUGACCAGCCACUCUGGAACUGAGACACGGUCCAGACUCCUACGGGAGGCAGCAGUGGGGAAUAUUGCACAAUGGGCGCAAGCCUGAUGCAGCCAUGCCGCGUGUAUGAAGAAGGCCUUCGGGUUGUAAAGUACUUUCAGCGGGGAGGAAGGGAGUAAAGUUAAUACCUUUGCUCAUUGACGUUACCCGCAGAAGAAGCACCGGCUAACUCCGCG